CGUCUUCAAAACGGCGGCGGGAACGCCUAUAUUAGGGGGGUCGGGAAACCGACUAUGGCGAUAAACGCCGCGUGGCAUAAGCGUUUCGGACCCGGGGGCAGUACCCGGCGCCUCCACCAUUCACCUCUGCCCUCGGGCGGAGUCGAUGGGGGCGAACCAGGAUCGACGAGCGUGGUAAAGGCGCGGUUUUUGCCCGGUAUGGUUCCGCCGUGACGGGCCAUUCACAAGUGCUAACGAUAACACCGUUACACUCGCUGCUGCCG
rnacentral:tmRNA from 1 species